ensembl:lncRNA
GGGGGAUUGCCUCGCGAGUGGGCGGGAAAAUGAGACCGCGAAAAAGCAAGUAGCGAGGCGCGCUCUAUAGCGGAACGUUCUCGUGCGGUUACCAUGACGCUGAGAGUGGGUGAAUCCCGCCCUCUCGCGCUGUUCUGACCGCUGGCUUGGUAUUUGUCUGAGGUAAACGGAGCUGUUCCAGAGCUUCCCCUGGACCAGCUUCAUUCCUUGGACCAGCCCUGGAUUUAACAUCUGGUAUGCCAUCCACAGGAAGAUGAUUUGGGAUCCAGAUGAACCUAUUUUUGACCUUAGUCAUAAUGUGACCCAUAAAAAGGUGGAAGCUGGAACUACAAUGGAUGCCGUUCAAAGAGCUGCUGUCUUCCAUACCAGAUCUUCCAACUUUGAAAAAAAGCUGAAAUGAGCUGCCUGGCACUGCGUGGACCCUGAUCAGAAUGUGCUGGCCGGGUGAGAUCACUCGCUCCACUGAACCUGCAUUCCUCUACUGCUCUGUCAGUGCAUUCCAGACAUGAAUGCUCGGACGCCUCUCAUGACUGCUCGGAGUUCAGUCUGUCAUACCUUUACACUGACCUCACUUUAACAGAAACAGGUCUGAGACCAGGACUAUGUCAUCAUUCUCAAAAUAGAAACACUGAGAGCUUCUUUUCCUCUACUAACCCUGAUGGAUUUAUGUAGGAGGCACACAGACAUAGGGUAGGGUAGGGUAUAUGAUUUCAUGUUGCAUCUGCACACAAAAUGAAAAAAAAAAAAAAUCACAUAAGGACUUCUCUUUUUUUGACAUUGACAUUUUUAUUUUAUUGACA